UGUCAUAUAGUUCAGCGGUAGAACGCCUGACUGUUAAUCAGGAUGUCGCAGGUUCGAACCCUGCUAUGCCAG
rnacentral:tRNA from 1 species